rnacentral:rRNA from 1 species
AUUGAACGCUGGCGGCAGGCCUAACACAUGCAAGUCGAACGGUAACAGGAAGAAGCUUGCUUCUUUGCUGACGAGUGGCGGACGGGUGAGUAAUGUCUGGGAAACUGCCUGAUGGAGGGGGAUAACUACUGGAAACGGUAGCUAAUACCGCAUAACGUCGCGACAAAAAAGAGGGGGAUCUUGGCGGCUCGUGCUCGCGGGUGUGCACAGGUGGGAUUAGAUAGUAGGUGGGGUAACGGCUCACCUAGGCGACGAUCCCUAGCUGGUGUGAGAGGAUGACCAGCCACACUGGAACUGAGACACGGUCCAGACUCCUACGGGAGGCAGCAGUGGGGAAUAUUACACAAUGGGCGCAAGCCUGAUGCAGCCAUGCCGCGUGUAUGAAGAAGGCCUUCGGGUUGUAAAGUACUUUCAGCGGGGAGGAAGGGAGUAAAGUUAAUACCUUUGCUCAUUGACGUUACCCGCAGAAGAGGCACCGGCUAACUCCGUG